rnacentral:lncRNA from 1 species
GAGGGUCUGAUGCAAAAUUCUUAUAAUCGCCAUCCACAUGCUGCCAUGCCAACGAGUUUGCAGGGUGAUGCAUUUUCCCAUCAUGCACCAGUUCAUCCUUGAGCCAACGCAUCAGUGAAGAUGUUGAUGCUCUCAUAUACAAUCUUUGCAAACGAGGAAUAAGUGGAAAAUAACGAAGGAUCUUACGGGGAAAAUGCUUCUUUCCACCACCAGUGACAACAAGAUCAUCCUUUUCAGUACCCCCUGUCUCUUUCCACCUAGACUCACCACAUGUUGGACAGUUAUCCUAUUCAGCAUAAUCCCC